rnacentral:rRNA from 1 species
CCUACGGGAGACAGCAGUGAGGAAUAUUGGUCAAUGGACGCGAGUCUGAACCAGCCAUGUCGCGUGCAGGAAGACGGCCCUACGGGUUGUAAACUGCUUUUGUAGGGGGGUAAACCCAGACACGUGUGUCUCUCUGCAAGUACCCCACGAAUAAGGAUCGGCUAACUCCGUGCCAGCAGCCGCGGUAAUACGGAGGAUUCGAGCGUUAUCCGGAUUUAUUGGGUUUAAAGGGUGCGUAGGCGGGCGUAUAAGUUAGAGGUGAAAUUCCGCGGCUCAACUUCGGAAUUGCCGUUGAUACUGGUAGGCUAGAGAGUAGUAGCGGUAGGCGGAAUGUAUGGUGUAGCGGUGAAAUGCUUAGAGAUCACACAGAACACCGAUUGCGAAGGCAGCUUACCAAGCUACAUCUGACGUUGAUGCACGAAAGCGUGGGGAGCAAACAGGAUUAGAUACCCGAGUAGUC